UACGUAGGGUGCAAGCGUUAAUCGGAAUUACUGGGCGUAAAGCGUGCGCAGGCGGUUAUGCAAGACAGAUGUGAAAUCCCCGGGCUUAACCUGGGAACCGCAUUUGUGACUGCAUAGCUGGAGUACGGCAGAGGGGGAUGGAAUUCCGCGUGUAGCAGUGAAAUGCGUAGAUAUGCGGAGGAACACCGAUGGCGAAGGCAGUCCCCUGGGCCUGUACUGACGCUCAUGCACGAAAGCGUGGGGAGCAAACCGG
rnacentral:rRNA from 1 species